ACAAAUCCAUCUCUGCUCUUCGAUGCUCCUUUCAUUCUCCUUCCUUUCCGUCUUGACCUUCUCUCGAUCUCUCUCUGUGAAAAUCAACUUCAUCUUCUAUCUCGAUCUCUCUCUUUGUCCUUCUGUUCAAUGGUCUUGGCGGCAGAGUGGAUUUCUCUUCUCUUUACCCAUUUUCGGCCCUCCAUUUUUCAUCUUGAGGAGGAGCUAAGACGCAAGCUCUUUUGAAUAUCUUUGUGAAUUUCUCUGCCAAGGAGAAGAGCUGAAAGCCUGCUACCAUUCCAAUGCAUGGACAAUAUUCACAAAUUCAGUUGUUGGCACACAGACAAAAAGGGAAAAAGGAGAGCACAUAGAACUGACAGACAAAAGGGAGAAAGGAAGGCAAAUGGAAUUGUGUUUUUUCCAAAUUGUAACUUAUUAUAAUGUUUUGUUAUUAUAAUGUAUAGGAAAAGACAAUUGUAUCCCUGCAUAGCCUAAACGUAUUGUAAUGUGGCACUGUUUUCCUUGCA